AUGCCAAGCCACAAAAGGGCAGUGAGAAAGCCAGGGCACCAGAAAAUAACGGGGAGCAGGAUGUCUGAAGCCUCCGUGGGGCAAGAUCUGCAAAUGAGCUGAAAGCUGAAGCUGUUUUCACAGGCAGAAAACUGGACUUUGGUGGACAGCCACAAAAGAGUAUGUGACCUUUUAUUCAAGAAAAGAUGAAUAGCUAUUUGUGGAUACUGGAAAUGCGAAGGUAAUGUCUACAUCCCCCAGGGAAGCCACAGCCCCGAACUCAAGGCUAUCUGAGCGUUUUCAAAAGUAAGACUAGAUAUUAAUUUAGACUAGUAAGCAGCAAAGAAAGUUUUACCAAAGCAUCAAAAACAGUGCUCUUAUUGCUUGUGCAGCUUAAUUCUCAAGUUGAGUUUGAACCACAAAUUUAGAUUCUGCUUUAUCAUCAAAUAAAUUAAAUGUGAUCAUUUUGAAGUGGAUUCAGUU